rnacentral:tRNA from 1 species
GCCGGAGUGGCGGAAUGGCAGACGCAGCAGACUCAAAAUCUGCCGAGGUAUCCCCUCGUGUGGGUUCGACUCCCACCUCCGGCA